rnacentral:lncRNA from 1 species
CAUUUUGCUGAGCCAUUUUCUUAUCAUGAUUAGCAUUUGUAUGUAGCCCAUUGACUAUGAUACUCCAUAAAUCGUAGUCAUGUGCUUGAAUGAAAAUGCGCAUGCGUGCUUUCCAAUGUGUGUAGCUUAUACCAUUAAAUAGUGGAGGUCUAUCAAUUAAUUGUCCCUCACUCAUAGAACAUCCCACUUGGGUUGUCAUGAUCUUUAACUCUUGAUUGUGAGAUCAAUAAUUACUAUUGGAGCACCUUGCUCUGAUACCACUUGUUGCCCAAGGUGACAAGCCAAGAGGGGGGGUGAAUUGGUUUCUUUUAAUUUUAACUAUCUUACUUGUGUUAAAUGAUGAGUUAGUGAACUUAAACAAAUCGCAAUGCAAACAACAAGAAGUAUAGUGGUUCGGUGCUC